UUGGUCAUCUCCUCAGCGUU
rnacentral:misc_RNA from 1 species